CCAGUGUAGACAUCCUGGGAGGUCAUUCUCUCCAAGCCCUGUCUAAGUGGCUCUGCCACAGGAUGUAUAGUCUCUUUCCACAAUGUCGGAGGUGAAGCUGGGCUUGCAUCUUCCUAUAACAUCUCAGAUUCCUUUGUGACUGAGGAGACAAACCAUAUAGAAAACAUGU
rnacentral:snoRNA from 1 species